rnacentral:rRNA from 1 species
UACGUAGGGAGCAAGCGUUGUCCGGAAUCAUUGGGCGUAAAGCGCGCGUAGGUGGCCCCAUAAGUCCGCUGUGAAAGUCAAAGGCUCAACCUUUGAAAGCCGGUGGAUACUGUGGGACUAGAGUACGGAAGAGGCGAGUGGAAUUCCUGGUGUAGCGGUGGAAUGCGCAGAUAUCAGGAGGAACACCAAUAGCGAAGGCAGCUCGCUGGGACGUUACUGACACUGAGGCGCGAAGGCGUGGGGAGCGAACGGG